AUAAGGUUUGCCCCGGCCGCUUGGUGCAUGUCACUACUAUUGCUACACCACACACAAGCCAGUCUUCUCAUCUCCCCGUCGUCUCCUCCUCCUUAGUCCAUGGCGGUGUCUGACACAGUGGCGGGAAAUUUGAUGACGAUCUACGUGGCAGUGAUCGCCGGCAUCAAAGUCUAUGGGCUUGUGUGCGGGCGAAGCUUGAGCACCGGAUUUGUUGUGAUAAUGUCGACCACCGUGGUGGGCCUGAUCCUGGUGGCCACGCUGACGUGGGACGUGUCACGUAAGGCCAAGUAUGCAUUCGCGCUCGAUCAAACCCCUCGUCGUCAACCUCAUCACAUCCUCCAUGCUCAGACGUGCAAGGGUGGUAUCUGCUGGCAUGGAGUGGCGGUGCGAUCGCUGGCGUCUCAGAUCCGAUUCAGGCUUCCCCACCACAUUCCUUUGUGAAGACGAACGUCUUGCUUCGAAUUGGAAGGAUUACAUCACCUGGAUAUUCUGUGGCCUAUGCGAAUAAUUAAGUAAACGGACGUGGCUGCUCAACGAACAAUGAUUCUCUAUAUGCCUCUCCAAUCUACUUAACUGAAUGCAUCCAAUUAAUGAGAGUCUGAUGCAGAGGCAUCUCUGGUACUGCCUUAUAACUCUAGAUCGAUCCAUAUUAUUCCAAAUAGACUUCUCUUCUUUUUUUCCAUUAUUGCAACUACACCGACAUUAUUACACAAGAGCAUCCUGGCUUUGUUACGUUUGACACUACACAAACUGUAUAUUUAAGGCUUUGUUCUAGUCACCUGCUUUGUGACUAAUGAUGUCAACAGUGUCAUAUGAUGAUGUGUUUAGAUGGAUCGAUUCGCCUUUUGA